rnacentral:rRNA from 1 species
UACGUAGGGAGCAAGCGUUGUCCGGAAUCAUUGGGCGUAAAGCGCGUGUAGGCGGUUCGGUAAGUCCGCUGUGAAAGUCGGGGGCUCAACCCUCGAAUGCCGGUGGAUACUGUCGGACUAGAGUACGGAAGAGGCGAGUGGAAUUCCUGGUGUAGCGGUGAAAUGCGCAGAUAUCAGGAGGAACACCAAUUGCGAAGGCAGCUCGCUGGGACGUUACUGACGCUGAGACGCGAAAGCGUGGGGAGCAAACAGG